rnacentral:lncRNA from 1 species
AGCUCCUACUCUGUCUGACCUGACAAGCCACCUCAAGUGGACAAGGCACUUACCAACAGAGAUUGCUGAUUUGCUCCUUAAGCAAGAGAUUCACUGCCGCUAAGCAUGGCUCAGACCAACUCGUUCUUCAUGCUGAUCUCCUCCCUGAUGUUCCUGUCUCUGAGCCAAGGCCAGGAGUCCCAGACAGAGCUGCCUAAUCCCCGAAUCAGCUGCCCAGAAGGCACCAAUGCCUAUCGCUCCUACUGCUACUACUUUAAUGAAGACCCUGAGACCUGGGUUGAUGCAGAUGUGAGUGAGGAGAGCAGCAGGGGAAGGGAGGCUUAUGAAGGUAGAGGCAGCUGCUAAUUUGCAGUGUGUUCUGUGGCUGCAAUGAGAUAAGAUUGAUCCCUUCCCUAUUCCACCACUGGUCCCAAACUUCCCAAUCUACUUUAUCCCAUCAUUUGACACAUUCCCAGCACAGAGAUGCUGGUGGUCAGUGACAGCAUCAUCAGGGACAUUUCUGUGCUGUCCUUUUUCUGUUACAUCCUCUGGAAGGUCUCAGUAUAUCCCUCACACCUUCCUUCUCCACUGAGUGCUCCAUUUUCUUCUCCAACAGCUCUAUUGCCAGAACAUGAAUUCAGGCAACCUGGUGUCUGUGCUCACCCAGGCGGAGGGUGCCUUCGUGGCCUCACUGAUUAAGGAGAGUAGCACUGAUGACAGCAAUGUCUGGAUUGGCCUCCAUGACCCAAAAAAGGUCAGUCUGCAGCCACCUCUAUCUCCUUAUAAACAUUUUUGAGAGGUAAGAGGGACGUUUAAGGUCUGGCACCGCAAUCACCAACUUUUAUCUUUUUGUUUGUUUAAAUAAAAGCAACCUCUUUAUAGAUCCUAUAAUGUAUGAGUUGUGAAGUUCAGUGUAGGUAGUUAGAGACAUGAGCUGAAGGCUGAAUUUUCUGGGCUCUGGGAAUUCAUGCACCCACUCAUUGUGUCUACUUCUAGAAAUGCAUCUUUAUGUACAACUUUUUCCCUAUUUUGCUAUUGUCUGUCUUGGAAGAGGUCCCUCUGUAGACUAUAUAGAAAAUGAGUAGUGGAGGAGAAUCUACUGCUGGCAUUUGUUAUACAUUUUAUACAAGUGUAUAAAACUGUACAGUAUAUUAUUUAGUUUAACACUAUAAACUAAAUAAUAUAUCAACGACUACUCUACAGCCAAUGUUAUGCUGGAUAUGAGAGUUCUGAGAUUCAGGAAAAA